GUGCUUGCUUUGGCAGCACAUACACUAAAAAUUAGAAUGAUACAGGAAGAUUAGUAUGGCCCCUGUCCAUAAUUUUACAAAAAAAAAAAAAAAGCAGGGCAUAUGGUG
ensembl:snRNA U6 U6 spliceosomal RNA